rnacentral:tRNA from 1 species
GUUUUGUAUUCAACAAUGAUUUUAAAUUGCAAAUUUAAAGGUGGCUUAGGUCCAAAACU